AUUGACCGCUGGCGGCAGGCCUCACACAUGCAAGUCGAACGAGUGGCGGACGGGUGAGCUAUGUCUGGUAAACUGCGCGAUGGAGGGGGAUAACUAAUGGAAACGGUAGCUAAUACCGAACAUCAUCGGAUGUGCCCAGAUGGGACUAGCUAGUAGGUGGGGUAACGGCUCACCUAGGCGACGACCCCUAGCUGGUCUGAGAGGAUGACCAGCCACACUGGAACGGAGACACGGUCCAGACGCCGACGGGAGGCAGCAGUGGGGAAUAUUGCACAAUGGGCGCAAGCCUGAUGCAGCCAUGCCGCGUGUAUGAAGAAGGCCUUCGGGUUGUAAAGUACUUUCAGCGAGGAGGCGUUACUCGCAGAAGAAGCACCGGCUAACUCCGUGCCAGCCGCCGCGGUAAUAC
rnacentral:rRNA from 1 species